CCAUAUUAUCGGGGAUGAACAACGGGAAUUGCCUUUUGGUUUGCCAUCAUUGGCACUCCUAACUCUCCAUGCUUGGUUUCUCUCUUUAUUCAUAAUGUUAAUUAAGUUUCACGUUAAUCAUGCAGGCAUCCAUGAUGUAUUCACUCGGGCUAUCACCCUGGCAUUUAGGUAG